GUGGGGAAUAUUGGACAAUGGGCGCAAGCCUGAUCCAGCCAUGCCGCGUGAGUGAUGAAGGCCUUAGGGUUGUAAAGCUCUUUCAGUGGGGACGAUAAUGACGGUACCCACAGAAGAAGCCCCGGCUAACUUCGUGCCAGCAGCCGCGGUAAUACGAAGGGGGCUAGCGUUGUUCGGAUUUACUGGGCGUAAAGCGCACGUAGGCGGAGCGUUACGUCGGGGGUGAAAUCCUGGAGCUCAACUCCAGAACUGCCUUCGAUACUGGCGAUCUUGAGUCCGGAAGAGGUGAGUGGAAGUCAUAGUGUAGAGGUGGAAUUCGUAGAUAUUCGCAAGAACACCAGUGGCGAAGGCGGCUCACUGGCCCGGUACUGACGCUGAGGUGCGAAAGCGUGGGGAGCAAACAGGAUUAGAUACCCGAGUAGUCC
rnacentral:rRNA from 1 species